rnacentral:rRNA from 1 species
UACAGAGGGUGCGAGCGUUAAUCGGAAUAACUGGGCGUAAAGGGCGCGUAGGCGGCCCUGUAAGUCAAAGGUGAAAUCCCUCGGCUCAACUGAGGAACUGCCUUUGAAACUGCAGGGCUUGAGGCCGGGAGGGGGUAGCGGAAUUCCCAAUGUAGCGGUGAAAUGCGUAGAUAUCGGGAGGAACACCAAUGGCGAAGGCAGCUCGCUGGGACGGUACUGACGCUGAGACGCGAAAGCGUGGGGAGCAAACAGG